AACGCACAUUGCACCUCUUGGUAUUCCUUGAGGUAUGCCUGUUUGAGCGCCGUUUGAACUCCUAAAGCUUUGCUUUGUGAUGAGCUUGGUCGCUAAAUUUUUAGUGACCUGCUUCAAAAUCAUUUUGCCCAAGACUUUUUGCGUGACGCAGUAAAAGUGCAGAGCGUAAAAUUGCUGUCCAGGGCAGGUCAAACGAUCGCAUGGCCUCAAAUCAGGUAGGGCUACCCGCUGAACUUAA
rnacentral:misc_RNA from 1 species